rnacentral:rRNA from 1 species
UACAGAGGGUGCAAGCGUUAAUCGGAAUUACUGGGCGUAAAGCGUGCGUAGACGGUUACAUAAGUCGGGUGUGAAAGCCCCGGGCUCAACCUGGGAAUGGCAUUCGAGACUGCGUAGCUAGGAUGCGGAAGAGGGAAGCGGAAUUUCCGGUGUAGCGGUGAAAUGCGUAGAUAUCGGAAGGAACACCAGUGGCGAAAGCGGCUUCCUGGUCCAGCAUCGACGUUCAGGCACGAAAGCGUGGGGAGCAAACAGG